GUAAUUCUAGCUCACCAGGUAGAGCAUUGAUUUGUGGAUUCAAUUGAUUCGGUUCGAGCCCGAAGUCUUACC
rnacentral:tRNA from 1 species